GACGAACGCUGGCGGCGUGCUUAACACAUGCAAGUCGAACGGAAAGGCCCUGCUUUUGUGGGGUUCUCGAGUGGCGAACGGGUGAGUAACACGUGAGUAACCUGCCCUUGACUUUGGGGUAACUUCAGGAAACUGGGGCUAAUACCGGAUAGGAGCUCCUGCUGCGUGGUGGGGGUUGGAGAGUUUCGGCGGUUGGGGAUGGACUGGCGGCUUAUCAGCUUGUUGGUGGGGUAGUGGCUUACCAAGGCUUUGACGGGUAGCCGGCCUGAGAGGGUGACCGGCGACAUUGGUACUGAGAUACGGCCCAGACUCCUACGGGAGGCAGCAGUGGGGAAUAUUGCACAAUGGGCGGAAGUCUGAUGCAGCAACGCCGCGUGCGGGAUGCCGGCCUUCGGGUUGUAAACCGCUUUCGCCUGUGACGAAGCGUGAGUGACGGUAAUGGGUAAAGAAGCACCGGCUAACUACGUG
rnacentral:rRNA from 1 species